rnacentral:lncRNA from 1 species
GUCCUCCCUCCCGACUCCCUAGCUCUCCCUCCCCUCGCUUUCAUCCUCCUAUCCCCACCUCUCCAACCUCCUCUUUCAUCCCCCUCCCCUCUCCUCUCCUCCCCGCUCCCGCCUGCCCCACCCCUGGGAAGCCCCUCCCGUCGGGCAGCGCCGCCUUAUAAGCGGGUUCCCUUCCCGGGGGCGGCAGCGGCUGGUCGGCGGCAGCUCUGCUGGUGCGGGGGCGGCGAGCCCGGGAUCGAGCUACCGCGGCCGAGCGCGCCGGCCACCGCCUGCACCGCCCUUCCGCCCGCCCUCCGGACGGCCGCAGCCCUGCGGGUCUCCGCUCCAGACCCACCCCCGCCCCACCCCGCGCGCCUCUGCCGCCUCUUCCAGAGACCCAGCUUGCCGAGCGGCCGCCGCUGCCGCUGUCGCCGCCGCCGCCGCCACCGCGCCAGGUUCCGGCCGCGGCCACCCUCCGCCGUCCAGGGCCCCUCCGUCUCGGCCCCGGGACCCCGGCUCCCCGCCAGCCCCGGCCCCGGCCCCGGCACCAUGUCGGAGAAAAGCGUGGAGGCAGCGGCCGAGUUGAGCGCCAAGGACCUGAAGGAGAAGAAGGAGAAGGUGGAGGAGAAGGCAAGCCGGAAAGAGCGAAAGAAAGAAGUGGUGGAGGUGUGGAGGGGAGGAGAACGGGGCUGAGGAGGAAGAAGAAGAAACUGCCGAGGAUGGAGAGGAGGAAGAUGAAGGGGAAGAAGAAGAUGAGGAAGAAGAAGAAGAGGAUGAUGAAGGGCCCGCGCUGAAGAGAGCUGCCGAAGAGGAGGAUGAAGCGGAUCCCAAACGGCAGAAGACAGAAAAUGGGGCAUCGGCGUGAGCCCCUGCCAACAGGCUGGGGUUGGGAGGCCUCUCUGGGCCUGGAGGUGGGGGUGGGGGCAGCCAAGUCCAGCCACUCUUCACCUGGCUCCCUGCUCUGGGCCCUGCACCAGAGCUGCCACCCUCUUCUUUCUCCCCAGCCUUCUCAUUUCCGCCUCUCCAGACACUGCGCCCUCCACCCUCACUCUGCCAUUGUUCCACCUCCUGACCUGCUCCAUCUGAGCUCUCCAGCUGGCCCCCAAUUGCUCCUCUCUCUCUUUGCUCUCUUUCUCCCUCCCCUACCAGCCUCAUUCUUCCUCCGGUAGCCUCUCCCACCUAACCUCUGCAUCCCCCAGCCUCAUGUCCUGCCCCAUCCCUAUCCUGCCUGAUCCCUGGAUCUCCCUCAGAUCCCCUCUUCUCAGACAGCGCCAGGCCGGGGUGGGGCCGGGGUUGGGGCCGAGCCCCACAGCUGCCCCCCUCCCCUCCCUUUUUGUAUAAUUUAAUAAAGAAAUGGUCGCGCUUCUGUUUU